rnacentral:rRNA from 1 species
GAUGAACGCUAGCGGCAGGCUUAACACAUGCAAGUCGAGGGGUAUAGUUCUUCGGAAUUAGAGACCGGCGCACGGGUGCGUAACGCGUAUGCAAUCUACCUUUCACAGAGGGAUAGCCCAGAGAAAUUUGGAUUAAUACCUCAUAGUAUAGCAGUUUCGCAUGAAACCACUAUUAAAGUCACAACGGUGAAAGAUGAGCAUGCGUCCCAUUAGCUAGUUGGUAAGGUAACGGCUUACCAAGGCAACGAUGGGUAGGGGUCCUGAGAGGGAGAUCCCCCACACUGGUACUGAGACACGGACCAGACUCCUACGGGAGGCAGCAGUGAGGAAUAUUGGACAAUGGGCGCAAGCCUGAUCCAGCCAUGCCGCGUGCAGGAUGACGGUCCUAUGGAUUGUAAACUGCUUUUAUACAGGAAGAAACACUAACUUCGUGAAGUAGCUUGACGGUACUGUAAGAAUAAGGAUCGGCUAAACUCCGUGCCAGCAGCC